ACGUGUCGGAUAUUGGGCGUAAGCGCGCGCAGGCGGCCUCCUAAGUCCGAUGUGAAAGCCCACGGCUCAACCGUGGAGGGUCAUUGGAAACUGGGGGACUUGAGUGCAGAAGAGGAAAGCGGAAUUCCACGUGUAGCGGUGAAAUGCGUAGAGAUGUGGAGGAACACCAGUGGCGAAGGCGGCUUUCUGGUCUGUAACUGACGCUGAGGCGCGAAAGCGUGGGGAGCAAACAGGAUUAGAUACCCUGGUAGUCCACGCCGUAAACGAUGAGUGCUAAGUGUUAGGGGGUUUCCGCCCCUUAGUGCUGCAGCUAACGCAUUAAGCACUCCGCCUGGGGAGUACGGCCGCAAGGCUGAAACUCAAAGGAAAUUGACGGA
rnacentral:rRNA from 1 species